rnacentral:rRNA from 1 species
AACGCUAGCUACAGGCUUAACACAUGCAAGUCGAGGGGAAACGACAUCGAAAGCUUGCUUUUGAUGGGCGUCGACCGGCGCACGGGUGAGUAACGCGUAUCCAACCUGCCCACCACUUGGGGAUAACCUUGCGAAAGUAAGACUAAUACCCAAUGAUAUCUCUAGAAGACAUCUGAAAGAGAUUAAAGAUUUAUCGGUGAUGGAUGGGGAUGCGUCUGAUUAGCUUGUUGGCGGGGUAACGGCCCACCAAGGCAACGAUCAGUAGGGGUUCUGAGAGGAAGGUCCCCCACAUUGGAACUGAGACACGGUCCAAACUCCUACGGGAGGCAGCAGUGAGGAAUAUUGGUCAAUGGACGAGAGUCUGAACCAGCCAAGUAGCGUGCAGGAAGACGGCCCUAUGGGUUGUAAACUGCUUUUAUAAGGGAAUAAAGUUAGUCUCGUGAGACUUUUUGCAUGUACCUUAUGAAUAAGGACCGGCUAAUUCCGUGCCAGCAGCCGCGGUAAUACGGAAGGUCCGGGCGUUAUCCGGAUUUAUUGGGUUUAAAGGGAGCGUAGGCCGGAGAUUAAGCGUGUUGUGAAAUGUAGACGCUCAACGUCUGCACUGCAGCGCGAACUGGUUUCCUUGAGUACGCACAAAGUGGGCGGAAUUCGUGGUGUAGCGGUGAAAUGCUUAGAUAUCACGAAGAACUCCGAUUG